rnacentral:rRNA from 1 species
ACGCUCGACACCUACGGGAGUCAGCAGUCGGGAAUAUUGCGCAAUGGAGGAAACUCUGACGCAGUGACGCCGCGUAUAGGAAGAAGGUUUUCGGAUUGUAAACUAUUGUCGUUAGGGAAGAGAAAGGACAGUACCUAAGGAGGAAGCUCCGGCUAACUACGUGCCAACAGCCGCGGUAAUCUGAGCGGGCUGGCAAGGC